AACGAACGCUGGCGGCAGGCUUAACACAUGCAAGUCGAACGCCCCGCAAGGGGAGUGGCAGACGGGUGAGUAACGCGUGGGAAUCUACCCAGUUCUACGGAACAACAGAGGGAAACUUCUGCUAAUACCGUAUACGCCCUACGGGGGAAAGAUUUAUCGGAAUUGGAUGAGCCCGCGUAAGAUUAGCUAGUUGGUGGGGUAAUGGCCUACCAAGGCGACGAUCUUUAGCUGGUCUGGGAGGAUGAUCAGCCACACUGGGACUGAGACACGGCCCAGACUCCUACGGGAGGCAGCAGUGGGGAAUAUUGGACAAUGGGCGCAAGCCUGAUCCAGCCAUGCCGCGUGAGUGAUGAAGGCCUUAGGGUUGUAAAGCUCUUUCAGUGGGGAAGAUAAUGACGGUACCCACAGAAGAAGCCCCGGCUAACUUCGUGCCAGCCGCCGCCGUAACAC
rnacentral:rRNA from 1 species